rnacentral:tRNA from 1 species
GGGGAUUUAGCUCAGUGGCAUAAGUGCCUGCCUUGCAAGUAGGUAGUUGUGAGUUCAAUCCCCG